ACCGUGCAGAACCUGAGCUUAAAUCCGCACCCUGCUUUACUUUAUCGCAUUCACUGAAUCUUCUCCGUCUCAGAGCAGUACCAGCAAGCGUAUAAAGCAAUGGCCAAUUACAUUCACGUCCCAGAAGGCGCGCCUUUGGUUCCUAAAUUAGACGUGAUUCUAGACGAGCACGAUUACAGAGCCGGAGCGCUGAAACUCAUCAAAACGUUGAGACCCCACUGGAAACCUUCGGAGGUCAAAAUGAAGUCUUUCACCGACGGUAUCACAAACAAGCUGAUUGGCUGUUACGUCGGCGGGUCCAUGCAGGACGUGGUCCUGGUUCGGGUCUACGGGAACAAGACAGAACUGUUUGUGGACCGUGAGAACGAAGUGAAGAGCUUCCGUGUCCUGCAGGCCCACCGAUGUGCUCCACGCCUCUACUGCACCUUCAACAAUGGCCUGUGCUAUGAGUUCCUGCAGGGAGUGGCACUGGAGCCCGAGCACAUCCGUAGCCCUGCCAUGUUCAGGCACAUUGCGAGGCAGAUGGCAAAGUACCAUGCCAUACAUGCCCACAACGGCUGGGUGCCCCAAUCAGACCUCUGGCUGAAGAUGAGCAAGUUCUUUUCUCUUGUUCCUACACACUUUGAAGACCCUGAGAAGGACCAGAGGCUGAACAGUGAGGUGCCCAGCACCGCGUGUCUUAGAGACGAGAUGAUCUGGCUUCAGCAGAACCUUUCUAAACUGGGUUCCCCAGUCGUUCUGUGUCACAACGAUCUGCUCUGUAAGAACAUCAUCUACAAACAACAGGAAGAUGUGAGUUUGCCCAAAUCUCUUCAUCUGCUGCACAGGGCUAUAGCCACUGACUGGAGGUGUUCAGUGUGUCCCGCUAGGACGCCACCGGGUCCGGUAACCACCUCACGUGUCUCUUUCUGUAGACCAACACUUCUGUCCAAUAUCAGUCAACCUUUUUUCUUCACACCAGAAGCUCUAGAGCACUGGGAAUGCAAGGCAACGUAAAGUCAAACACACAUUAGGUGCAAUAAUGUUCAUGUAACAAACUAGGCAGUGAUUUGUCAUAUAUUAUACUGUAUUUGUAUACAUAUAUAUAUAUAUAUAUAUACAUACACACGCAUUACACAUAUGUAGAGUAAGUGGAGUAAGGCUUUGUUUUCAACACUGUCUACAUCACCUGACUGAUCAAGUCACUGCUUGUUAGACUACUGCUAUUCAGACUAUGUGCCAUUAGAUGGCAACAUUGCCCAUUUUCUCUCCUUUACCUCCUCUGUCCUUCCAACCCUGUGGUUUUACAGUACAGCCGUCUCUUUUUUUUUUUUUUUGCAUUUGCAUUUUGUAAAGCUGUCAACUCUUAUCUUACCUGAUUUGUUUAUCCAUUUUUGCUCUAUUCACUUUUAUUUUACUCUCUUUUUACUUUUACUGUUUCCUGAAUAUUGUUUAUGCGAGGUGCUCUUUCUGUCACCAGUAAUGAGAUUUCCUGGAAAACUUGGAAUAACUUUGCCCACUCACUAAUAAUUUGUAUUCAAGCAGGAAUCAUUGUUUGUUUUCAGUUGAAAUAUAUAUAUAUAAAAAAAAAAAUACAAAUUUUACUUUAAACGAAAAAAAUCAAAGAAAGUUGCAAGUUUUCCACUUUUCUUCUCAGCAGACUCAUGUAAAUGGUGAUUCAUCAAUUAGAUAAACUUUUAUUUUUUUUAAAUUGAUAACAUAAGUAAUUUCAUUUUGAAAAGAUGAUCAUAGUUUGUAUAUUAUAAAAACUUCAAACAUAUCGUUUUUAAUUGCUUGUGUUGAAAUAUUGCACUUUUCAGAAUAUAGAAUCAAUUUCAUUUACCCCAUACACUUAAAACCUUCUAAUACAUUAUUGAAUUAUUAAAAUCAUGAAAUGAUGAUCAUGAUUUUGAUGGUCAUGUUUAGUUAUGAUGGAAAUGAUUCAUGAUGUGGUAACAUGGGUAUAGUGAACAUCAAAAUUAUAAUGAAGAAUGUUGCAUCAUGAUCUGAAAGUAGGUUUUUUGACAUCAUUACCAGAAUGGUUAGUAUCAGAGAAUUUUAAUCCAGAAACAGUAUCUUUUCAACCGUUCAAAAGUUAAUUGAGUGCAAUGUUGUGUCCACACACACAAAAUCAAAACCUAUCAUUAGAGGAUGUGAAAAAUAUUUUACAUGAAAUGAAACCAUGUGAUAGUUUCAUUUUUCAAAGUGACCCUAAUUGAAGAAUCACCCAUAUAUAACAUGCUGUUUUUUCCACAUGCAUGCUAUAAGUGCAUGAAAUCUGUCCCCGUGUCUUGUUCACUUUCUCAUUUGUUUAUUCUUUCUCGUCUUGCACCAGAAUGCAAAUCCUUACUCCUUUUUUCCACAUUUGAUUUGAUAAGUCACUUAAAUUGCAGAUAAUGCCCAUUGUAGUGUUGGUUUGCUAAUACAGGCAAUAGAUUGUUACAGUAAAAAAGAACAAGGGUUAUUAAGAAGACAAUACCCGUGUGCUUUUCUAAACAAAUUGCUAUUUGUUUCCCCUCCUGCAGGAAAUGUCAAAUUCAUUGACUACGAAUAUGCUGGGUACAAUUAUCAAGCCUAUGAUAUUGGCAAUCACUUCAAUGAAUUUGCAGGUCUGAAUGAGGUGGACUACACGCUGUAUCCUGGGCGAGAGCUCCAGUUGCAAUGGCUCCAGGCCU